UGCAAUCUGCUUUCGUUUUGUUUCGAAGUUUCGAAAAAGUCACGCGAUUCUCCAUGCUCUCCACUCACAUGCUGUUUGGAAGGUAUUAUUAAACCAAGAAUACAAAUAUAGAAUAAUUAUGGGGGCUUAAAUUAAAAGAGUUGAACUUGUUCUAAAUUUGGUGAAAUGUUACCGUACUUCCUGACAGGCAUUUAUCAUGUAAGCAGUCCCCUGUCGAUGCUUGGCAAUUUGUUUCAACUUGGUUAACCUUUUCUUUUGUGUAGAUUUUAGGCCUGAGCCAGCCAUCAUAACCCACAAGACAUUCAAGUUUUGCUUGUGCUGCUAUUUGGCCUGUCAUCGGCAACAAUUUCUUUUCUUUUUGGGUUGAUUGGAUAAACAGCAUCCGGAUGUGAGUGUGGGUGUAUUCACGAGGACGCCCUUUUCCUAUUCCGCUUGGUGGAUUCAACUUAUCAGCGGGUGGACGGAGCACCUGUGGUUACCUGGCCAUAUUUCCCAGGCUUGAAGGCCAAACCAAAAUACAAAACAAAAAUAGGAACUGGAUUCAAAGGACCAUAUUAGAUGACAAAUCAAAAAAAGAAGUAGUAACCAACUGUGCACGGAUGGACUUUUGAGUCGAAUUUAGGUCAUUUGUACAAUUGCUGCGCGACUGUCACGCACAGACAGCCUGUUUGAACGUCUUGUUUAUGCUCUCUCCAAGGGUCAACAGCUUUAUUUGGUUAGACUCACGUUUUUUUCUUUUUUAAUUUCCAAUUGCGGAAGACAAAACAAAAUAGAGAAUUGAUGCCCCACUUUUUGAAAAAUUCCCAAAUCAAGUCCUCCUUUAUAUUCUUGUCAUAUUCUCAUUCGUAGUAUAUUAUUAUUCGAAACACAAAUAGUCCAACAUUUUUUUUUACUGAUUUUGGGGGGAUUUUAAACAACUCACUCGGCAAGUCAGAAACAUUCGGUAUUGUAAAGGAUAAAUUAUCAAAUUUAGAUCAUGUUAAUUGUUCGUAAAAUAAAAGUCUCAGUUAAUAAGUCGAUUUCUUUUUGCUCGAUCGAAAUAAUGCCUCAAGAGCCUCGGGCUAGUGGUUAUUAUUGUACAUAGCAAGUCAAUCAAAAA